rnacentral:rRNA from 1 species
GGAUUAGAUACCCUGGUAGUCCACGCCGUAAACGGUGGAUGCUGGAUGUGGGGCCCGUUCCACGGGUUCCGUGUCGGAGCUAACGCGUUAAGCAUCCCGCCUGGGGAGUACGGCCGCAAGGCUAAAACUCAAAGAAAUUGACGGGGGCCCGCACAAGCGGCGGAGCAUGCGGAUUAAUUCGAUGCAACGCGAAGAACCUUACCUGGGCUUGACAUGUUCCCGACAGCCGUAGAGAUAUGGCCUCCCUUCGGGGCGGGUUCACAGGUGGUGCAUGGUCGUCGUCAGCUCGUGUCGUGAGAUGUUGGGUUAAGUCCCGCAACGAGCGCAACCCUCGCCCUGUGUUGCCAGCACGUCAUGGUGGGAACUCACGGGGGACCGCCGGGGUCAACUCGGAGGAAGGUGGGGAUGACGUCAGAUCAUCAUGCCCCUUACGUCCAGGGCUUCACGCAUGCUACAAUGGCCGGUACAACGGGAUGCGACACGGCGACGUGGAGCGGAUCCCUGAAAACCGGUCUCAGUUCGGAUUGGAGUCUGCAACCCGACUCCAUGAAGGCGGAGUCGCUAGUAAUCGCGGAUCAGCAACGCCGCGGUGAAUGCGUUCCCGGGCCUUGUACACACCGCCCGUCAAGUCAUGAAAGUGGGUAGCACCCGAAGCCGGUGGCCUAACCCUUUGUGGGAUGGAGCCGUCUAAGGUGAGACUCGUGAUUGGGACUAAGUCGUAACAAGGUAGCCGUACCGGAAGGUGCGGCUG